AUUGAACGCUGGCGGCAUGCUUUACACAUGCAAGUCGAACGGCAGCACGGACUUCGGUCCGGUGGCGAGUGGCGAACGGGUGAGUAAUACAUCGGAACGUGCCCAGUUGUGGGGGAUAACUACUCGAAAGAGUAGCUAAUACCGCAUGAGAACUGAGGUUGAAAGCAGGGGAUCGUAAGACCUUGCGCAACUGGAGCGGCCGAUGGCAGAUUAGGUAGUUGGUGGUAUAAAAGCUUACCAAGCCGACGAUCUGUAGCUGGUCUGAGAGGACGACCAGCCACACUGGGACUGAGACACGGCCCAGACUCCUACGGGAGGCAGCAGUGGGGAAUUUUGGACAAUGGGCGAAAGCCUGAUCCAGCAAUGCCGCGUGCAGGAUGAAGGCCUUCGGGUUGUAAACUGCUUUUGUACGGAACGAAAAGCUUCGAGUUAAUACCCUGGAGUCAUGACGGUACCGUAAGAAUAAGCACCGGCUAACUACGUGCCAGCCGCCGCCGUAA
rnacentral:rRNA from 1 species